rnacentral:lncRNA from 1 species
ACAAAAAAACAAAAACAAAAAAGAAGCCGUUCUGUUCGCCGUAAGGAAAGUAUUAGCAGUAAAGGACUUAAUUUUGUCUUAUAUAAGCAAACAAAAAAAUUUCUCAGGUAUGCAUGUGCUAAAAGUUCACCAUGGACCUUAUUGCUGAAUUUCUUUCAGCAUUAUUUUGCUUUAAAGCCUGCUCUCGUUUUUGAUGAUAUACUUCCAUUUGCCUUGCAGGCUACAGCAGAGAGUUAUUUUGAAUACAGGGCUAAAUGCAACAACAACAACAACAAAAUGCAAGGAGCUGGAAAGAGGAGUUAAAUCCUUUCAUUGAGGCAGAGAUUGUUAGGCAGAACUUAGCAGAUGUGAAUGGCGAAUAAGUGGAAGUCAGCAAGAAAGCCCUGGAUACUGGAAGAUCUUCAGUUGGAGACCUGAAGGUAAGUGCUUCCAGGGAGAAACAGAGAAAAUUGUCCCCAGUUAUGUAGGGAUAUGGUCAUCAUACCAGCCUCCUAGUUCCAUCACUACAUCUCUGGGCAUUGACAAUUCCAAUGCUAAUGAAGGCA